GGGAGGGGGAGGUCGGGAGGGGGCUGCAUUUUUAUACGGGAGGGGGAGGGCGAGAAUGGCACGAGCUUAUCAACCCCGCCCCGGGCGUCGCACACACGCUAGUUAUACCAUCCACGCUACAGCUUUCCCCGACACCGUUCCGAGUUUCACACCGAGUCACGCAUGCAAUAGUCGCAUAUAUCUAUCUAUACGCUCUCCCCCCCCUCCAUAUCCUUGUACACGCUCUCCCCCGGAAUCCCCACCAACUCUCCCCGCGGCCGUUCCUUGAUCACCCGGCCCACACUCCCCAUCCAGCCCUUCCGCGUAUCCACCAGCCGUCGCAGCGUAUCCGGCACCGGCGGCCGUCCAGACGCAUUCAGCUGCACCACCUCCCCAUGUUCCCCCACCACCGUCCCCGUGCCCCCGCCCUCCACCAUCAGCUUCUUUUUAGGCGACAGCCCAUACUUUUUGAUACGUUUCAGCCAUGCUUCUUCGAUAGAUUUCUCCACCCCGUCCAGCGCGGCGCGGUACUCUGUGUAUGCCAGCCGUUGUUUUGCAAUCUCCGCCAGACGCCUUUUGCGCGCUUCGUUCAGUGCCGUCUGGUGUACUAAAAGACGCUGGCAUUGGCGUAACGCUGAUGUGAUCUCGUCGUCAUCUCGAUUAUUCGGGUCAAACUGUUAACCCUGCGUUUAGCCUCUUUUCGAUUAAAUAUAACCAUAACAUACCUCUUCGUGCUCGCCAAGAAGCAUAACCGCCCUCAACUCGUGUUUCAUCCUCUCCUCCAAAUCAACCACAUCCACUUUUGCAGGCUCCACCUUUUCCCCCACCUCCCCACCCUCCAUCCUCUCCCUCUCCCUUCUUUCCCUUUCUCUCUCCUUUUCCUUCUCCCUGUCAUCCCCCACAAACGUCCCCACCACGGCGGCGACAACCCUCUCCGUCAACCCACCCAACCCCCGUUGCUCAUCCACCAGGUUCUCAUCCCUCAUCUCCUGCGCCGGUACGAAAUGCGGAAUGUGCGGCCCGCCGGCCGAGGCCGCUAGAGCCAACGUGUUCUUACGAGUAUGAUUUAUAGUUUGCGACUGUUGGAUUUGUUGCUGGCGCAAGUUGGGCACCGGGAAGCGGGUACGUGUCCCAGGUGGAUUCCCAUCUUCUUCAUCCCAUACUUCUGUAUAGUGCCGUCCUCUGGGAGGAAUUUCAUACGACUCUGCCGGAUCGGUCUAUCCCCACCAUCAGCAUCAGCACCGACAUCGACACGCAAAGAGACAAAACACACACCUUGAACCCCAGCAUAGCCAAAUCAUCCUCCCUCACAUCCCGCAAAUACGGCUCCACCGCACUCCAAAACGUAGGAAACGCGACCUGGUUCGGCGCCUUCUUGUUACUAUAAUCUUCAUCCACUUCACUCUGCUUUUUAGGGCCCGGUUUCAUCGGUUGUCUCGGUCCUUGUCUCGUAGGCACCAAAGGGCGGGACGGCUGGGCGGGAAGGGCGAAAUCGAUAUGGGCGCCCGGGAGCGGGGUGGACGAUGAUGCAGGAGAAUGGGUAGCGUCGACCGAGGGUCGUUUCGGCUGGGUAUGCGAGAUUUUGAGUUUCAAGCCGGAUGUAGUGGAUGGGUAUGGCGGUGGGGAUGCCAGUGUCAUCGAGCGCUCCCUCGUUGCUUGUCCCAUGUAAGUUGCGAUAUACCAAAUAAAGAAAAACACGUACAGGGCGUCUCGUCAUCGCUGUCCAACACCCUCUUGAUCUUCUUCUUCUUCUUGAUUUGUCCACUAUACGUCUGUUGCGAUGCACUUGGUUUAAACGAUGUUGUAGAUGCAUUUGACGGUGCUGGGCUCACUAUUCAUCUACCGUCAGCCUCUUCCUUUCCCUUCCCCUUCCCCUUCGCCUUCCCUUCCCAAACAAAACACACUCACACGACCGCUCCCUCUUCACCUUGACACCCGUCGGACUCGCAGUAGAAGCAGACGACCCUUUACCCGCAACCCCACUCAACCCCUUCUUCUUCCCCACCACCACCCCUUGCGCAUGUGCCACCCGCGCCUUCUCCGCCACUUCCAACCUCAUACUCGCUCGCUCAUUCGCUUCUAUCGCCGCUCUUUCCCUCUCCCUCUCCCUCUCCUUUUCCUUUUCCCGAUCUUGAUCUCGAUCUCGAUCUUCAUCCUCCCGCUCUUUCCGCUUCUUAUCUUUCCUCUUCAUGUCAUCUCCCAUCCCCCCUGGUGUACCCCCCUCAACCCCCGCACCUCCUCCCGACCCCGACCCACCACCACCACCACCACCAUUCGAUGCCGAUCCCGAUCCCGAUCCGGCAUACGCAUACUCUGCCAACGCUUGUCGGAUACUCUCCAAAUCAGAUACAGACGGUAGUUGGGGAUACGUCGUAGAGUGGAGUAAAGGCAGGAGGGGAUUUGGGAACUGGCGUGGCAUUGCUACUUUUCUUGUUCUUGCUUUUCUCUUUUCUCUUCUUUUUGUAUCGUAUCGUAUCGUAUUGUAUCGUAUUGUAUCCUUGUUUGAUGUAUAUCUUUUCUGGG
rnacentral:sRNA from 1 species